UGGGGGAUAUUGCACAAUGGGCGAAAGCCUGAUGCAGCGACGCCGCGUGGGGGAUGAAGGCUUUCGGGUUGUAAACCUCUUUCGCUAUCGAACAAGGCCCGCUUAGGGUGGGUUGAGGGUAGGUGUAGAAGAAGCGCCGGCUAACUACGUGCCAGCAGCCGCGGUAAUACGUAGGGCGCGAGCGUUGUCCGGAAUUAUUGGGCGUAAAGGGCUUGUAGGCGGCUUGUUGCGCCUGCUGUGAAAACGCGGGGCUUAACUUCGCGCGUGCAGUGGGUACGGGCAGGCUUGAGUGUGGUAGGGGUGACUGGAAUUCCAGGUGUAGCGGUGGAAUGCGCAGAUAUCUGGAGGAACACCGAUGGCGAAGGCAGGUCACUGGGCCAUUACUGACGCUGAGGAGCGAAAGCAUGGGUAGCGAACAGG
rnacentral:rRNA from 1 species